rnacentral:other from 1 species
AGAGAACUGUUUUGUUGGUGAUGACCUUUUAAGUGCUCUGAUCUGACUCUUUUUCGACUUGAGGAGACUGUUGUUAUCGUGAAGUAAACCAGUCAUGCAACUGGAAAUGGAUCAUUACUUUGACUCCUCUUCUGGCUUAUCCAGGUCGAACGCUUAGGUCACACGGCAAAAUGGUUCUAUA